GAUGAACGCUGGCGGCAUGUUUAAGGCAUGCAAGUUAAAGGAGUGUAGCAAUACAUUCCUGGCAAACGGGUGCGUAACACAUUGGUAAUCUGCCUCCGUCUCGAGUAUAACCCCGCGAAAGCGGGGACAAUCCUCGAUAGUCAUGAGGGGUCGCGAGACAUUCUCAUGUAAAGACCGCAAGGUCGGAUGGAGAGGAGCCUAUGGCCCAUCAGCUAGUUGGUAGGGUAAUGGCCUACCAAGGCUAUGACGGGUAGCGGGUGUGGGAGCACGACCCGCCUCACUGGGACUGAGACACUGCCCAGACUCCUACGGGAGGCUGCAGUCAAGAAUCUUCCUCAAUGGGCGAAAGCCUGAAGGAGCAAUGCCGCGUGAUCGAAGAAGCCCCUCGGGGUGUAAAGAUCUUUUAUCAGGGACGAAUUUUGACGGUACCUGAUGAAUAAGCCACUGCUAACUUCGUGCCAGCAGCAGCGGUAAUACGAAGGUGGCAAGCGUUAUCCGGAAUGAUUGGGCGUAAAGCGUCCGCAGACGGUUUGGUGUGUCUUCUGUCAAAUCCUGAAGCUCAACUUCAGGGCUGCAGGGGAAACUACCUGACUAGAGGCUGGAAGAGGCAAGCGGAAUUACCGGUGUAGCGGUAAAAUGCGUUAAUAUCGGUAAGAACACCAAAUGCGAAGGCAGCUUGCUGGAACAGAUCUGACGUUCAUGGACGAAAGCGUGGGGCGCGAAUGGGAUUAGAUACCCCAGUAGUCCACGCCGUAAACGAUGGGUACUGAGCAUUGGGAGUAUCGACCCUCCCGGUGUUGUUUAAUUAAGCUAACGCCGUAAGUAC
rnacentral:rRNA from 1 species